UACGUAGGGGGCGAGCGUUGUCCGGAAUCAUUGGGCGUAAAGCGCGUGUAGGCGGUUCGGUAAGUCCGCUGUGAAAGUCGGGGGCUCAACCCUCGAAAGCCGGUGGAUACUGUCGGGCUUGAGUACGGAAGAGGCGAGUGGAAUUCCUGGUGUAGCGGUGAAAUGCGCAGAUAUCAGGAGGAACACCAAUUGCGAAGGCAGCUCGCUGGGACGUUACUGACGCUGAGACGCGAAAGCGUGGGGAGCAAACAGG
rnacentral:rRNA from 1 species